rnacentral:rRNA from 1 species
UGUUUCCGUAGGUGAACCUGCGGAAGGAUCAUUACC